CAAAUAUCAACAUUUUAUUAUUUAAGAUUAAAAAAAAAACAUUUAUUUCCCCAAGACUCUCCUUUCCAAGAUUAAAUCUACACCACAUAUUGUUUAAAGAAUCUAUACAGCAUGUACUUCUACCCGUCAUUUUUUUCUUCUUCAGCUCACUUUUCUCCCAUUUGUUUCCUCACUGUCACUGCAACUUCCAAAUUUGCAGUUCGCAUCAUUUUUUUCAUCUCUUAGAGUUUACACAUGCAACAAUAAAGACAGGUGAGCUUGAGUUUCGGCGGCCAUGGGUUUUCAGUGAUGGUACCAAUCUUGAGUUUCGGUUGGUUUUGGGUUUCCAGUUGCAGUCGAUCUUGAGUUUCGGUGUGCCAAUCUUGAUUUUCUGUUAGUCUAUCUCUUUCAUUAGUCUCUGGUAGUGGGUUUUUGGUUGUGGUGUCUGGUUUUGAGUUUGGACGGAAUGGGUGAGGAGAGAGCUUAGGUCGGCGGUGAGAUGGAGGACUGGGCUUGUUGAACUUUCAAUUCAAAUAACCCAACACACCGAUGGCACAUUCUCUCUCUCUCUCUCUCUCUCUCUCGGCUUAAACCCGAGCCAAACACUUCUCUCUGUCCGAUUUCCCCAAACCCUAACUCUCAAACUCUCCCUCUAUCCCGAUCUAGCUACUAUGAGAGCCCCAAACGGCGCGUGAUUGAUGGAUCGAUGGUGUGGAGGCCAAGGAUAUCACGGAUCGAUCGAGAACUAUGGCUGUGGUGGAGCGUGGGUUCGUGGCUUGAGGCGCGUGAAGAACACGUGCUUCACAUAAGGCACAAAAAUACACCAUAAUGGUAUAAAUGAGGGCAAAAAUUUCUGUGAGGGCAUACCCAUAUCCCAUUCCUGUUUCUUCAAGAUUUUGUAUGAAAUUACCAUCAAAGAGCCCAACAGUUGGAAAAUUUUGCGCCCCAGAGGAUCAAAUUGACUCCACCAGCUUUAGGAAGUAAUCCGUUCGGCGAAAAGGAUCAGUAACAGACUUCAGCGAGAACUGGUACCCUCUUCACCACCUUUACAUGCUUGUAAGCUCCAUGUCAGUAACAAAUUUUACAAAAAAGGGGAGCAGAAAUUGACUUUUAGAAACAUAACCAAGCAGGUUUUUCCAAGUUUAUUUUAAGUUAUAUUGAUCAUCCCAUAAAUAUAGAAGAUAACUGAGACAGAAAUAAGAGUUAAAAUAAAUAUAUCAACCAAAUCUUUUAGGCCAAUAAAAUGUUGAUAAUUGACCAAAUAAUCUCAUAUUGAAACAUAUUACCUUUACCGUCUGAAUCCAAUUGAUUGAACUUUUGGUAUAAAUUACAGCUUAGAAGAAGGAUGUUCAACUCUUCUCUUAUGAUCUGAAAAAUUCAACAAAUAUCAAGUUCUUGAUUCAUAGGAUUCAAACGUUUCUCUUGAGUCAGACGUUGGUUAAAAUUGCCAUAAACUGGUGAUGAUCCACUGUUCCUCUUAUAUUACAUGGUGACUCUUAGUUCCCUCAACUCCUUUUACUACCAAAAUUUUGAACUGUAGUUUGAAUAAAUGCUUAGUCACGUAAGUGAAAGUUAGCAGAAGUUUAAGACAAUGUUUCCAGAUGAUUUAAUAAAAAGCUUCCUAAUAAACAACUUUUAAUUCAAGCAAGCAGUUGAAACUUACUGGUAACACUUCAUUGGCCAUGUCAAGUACUAUAGCAUUUGCAUCAGCAAAAGGCAAUAAGCCAGCUAAGGAGCCCCUUCCGGCCAUGUGAAAGCGACCUGAGUUGUACGACACUAUAAGAUCAACACCACCAGCCUCCUCAAACUUUGCAGAUAUGUCCCUGCACUAGCUCCUAGUAUUGGAAUUCCCUUACUUGACCUGGUUCUUUGUAAAGUUACUGUUGUAAAAAUAGUUGGUAACUGGUUAGCUGAGUCCACCAUGUCAAAGAACAACAUCUACUCCUUACUACAAUGGUAUCUGGUAAUUGAAACCUUGUGAUACAAAAGUAAUAAGUUUAUUCUUAUUUUGCUUUCUUAGUUAA